rnacentral:rRNA from 1 species
UCGGGAAUUUUGGGCAAUGGGCGAAAGCCUGACCCAGCAACGCCGCGUGAGGGAUGAAGUAUUUCGGUAUGUAAACCUCGAAAGAAUGGGAAGAAUAAAUGACGGUACCAUUUAUAAGCUCCGGCUAACUACGUGCCAGCAGCCGCGGUAAUACGUAGGGAGCAAGCGUUGUUCGGAUUUACUGGGCGUAAAGGGCGCGUAGGCGGCGCGGUAAGUCACUUGUGAAAUCUCUGAGCUUAACUCAGAACGGCCAAGUGAUACUGCUGUGCUAGAGUGCGGAAGAGUCAACCGGAAUUCUUGGUGUAGCGGUGAAAUGCGUAGAUAUCAAGAGGAACACCUGAGGCGAAGGCGGGUUGCUGGGCCGACACUGACGCUGAUGCGCGAAAGCCAGGGGAGCAAACG